rnacentral:rRNA from 1 species
ACGGCUCAGUAACACGUAGUCAACCUAACCUAUGGACGGAAAUAACCUCGGGAAACUGAGAAUAAUGUCCGAUAGAACACUAUACCUGGAAUGGUUUGUGUUCCAAAUGAUUUAUCGCCGUAGGAUGGGACUGCGGCCUAUCAGUUUGUUGGUGAGGUAAUGGCCCACCAAGACUAUUACAGGUACGGGCUCUGAGAGGAGUAGCCCGGAGAUGGGUACUGAGACACGGACCCAGGCCCUAUGGGGCGCAGCAGGCGAGAAAACUUUGCAAUGUGCGAAAGCACGACAAGGUUAAUCCGAGUGAUUUGUGCUAAACGAAUCUUUUGUUAGUCAUAGAACCACUAACGAAUAAGGGGUGGGCAAGUUCUGGUGUCAGCCGCCGCGGUAAAACCAGCACCUCAAGUGGUCAGGAUGAUUAUUGGGCCUAAAGCAUCCGUAGCCGGCUCUAUAAGUUUUCGGUUAAAUCUGUACGCUCAACGUACAGGCUGCCGGGAAUACUGCAGAGCUAGGGAGUGGGAGAGGUAGACGGUACUCGGAAGGAAGGGGUAAAAUCCUUUGAUCUUUUGAUGACCACCUGUGGCGAAGGCGGUCUACCAGAACACGUCCGACGGUGAGGGAUGAAAGCUGGGGGAGCAAACCGGAUUAGAUACCCGGGUAGUCCCAGCUGUAAACUAUGCAAACUCAGUGAUGCAUUGACUUGUGGUCAAUGCAGUGCUGCAGGGAAGCCGUUAAGUUUGCCGCCUGGGAAGUACGUACGCAAGUAUGAAACUUAAAGGAAUUGGCGGGGGAGCAC